UGGGGGAUAUUGCACAAUGGGGGGAACCCUGAUGCAGCGACGCCGCGUGGGCGAUGGAGUACUUCGGUAUGUAAAGCCCUAUCAGCAGGGAAGAAAAUGACGGUACCUGACUAAGAAGCCCCGGCUAAAUACGUGCCAGCAGCCGCGGUAAUACGUAUGGGGCAAGCGUUAUCCGGAUUUACUGGGUGUAAAGGGAGCGUAGGCGGCCUGGCAAGCCUGAUGUGAAAUACCGGGGCCCAACCCCGGGGCUGCAUUGGGAACUGCCAGGCUGGAGUGCCGGAGAGGCAGGCGGAAUUCCUAGUG
rnacentral:rRNA from 1 species